rnacentral:rRNA from 1 species
GGGUCAGUAGGUUGGUCGUGCCACCGGUACGUACUGGUCUCACUGAUUCCUCCUUCCUGAAGAACCGUAAUGCCAUUAAUUUGGUGUUGCGGGGAAAUAGGACUGUUACUUUGAAAAAUUAGAGUGUUUAAAGCAAGCUAACGCUUGAAUACAUUAGCAUGGAAUAAUGAAAUAGGACGAUCGAUCCUAUUUUGUUGGUUUCUAGGAUUGACGUA